AUUGAACGCUGGCGGCAGGCCUAACACAUGCAAGUCGAACGGUAACAGAAAGCAGCUUGCUGCUUUGCUGACGAGUGGCGGACGGGUGAGUAAUGUCUGGGAAACUGCCUGAUGGAGGGGGAUAACUACUGGAAACGGUAGCUAAUACCGCAUAACGUCGCAAGACCAAAGAGGGGGACCUUCGGGCCUCUUGCCAUCGGAUGUGCCCAGAUGGGAUUAGCUAGUAGGUGGGGUAACGGCUCACCUAGGCGACGAUCCCUAGCUGGUCUGAGAGGAUGACCAGCCACACUGGAACUGAGACACGGUCCAGACUACUACGGGAGGCAGCAGUGGGGAAUAUUGCACAAUGGGCGCAAGCCUGAUGCAGCCAUGCCGCGUGUAUGAAGAAGGCCUUCGGGUUGUAAAGUACUUUCAGCGGGGAGGAAGGGAGUAAAGUUAAUACCUUUGCUCAUUGACGUUACCCGCAGAAGAAGCACCGGCUAACUCCGUG
rnacentral:rRNA from 1 species